rnacentral:misc_RNA from 1 species
UCCCUGUUACCAGGGCAGUCUGACUAGAAAAAUUCAACUAGUCAUAAGGGUUGCGCUCGUUGCGGGACUUAACCCAACAUCUCACGACACGAGCUGACGACGGCCAUGCAUCACCUGUCACCGCGUUCCAAAUGGCACAAACACCUUUCGGUGUUCUUCGCGGGAUGUCAAACCUUGGUAAGGUUCUCGGCUUAGCAUCCAAUUAAACAACACGCUCCACCGCUUGUGCGGGUCCCCGUCAAUUCCUUUGAGUUUUAGUCUUGCGACCGUACUCCCCAGGCGGGAUGCUUAACGCGUUAGCUUCGCUUCUGGACGGGUCGAUACGCCCAAAUAGCUAGCAUCCAUCGUUUACAGCGUGGACUAC